rnacentral:rRNA from 1 species
UACGAAGGGGGCUAGCGUUGUUCGGAAUUACUGGGCGUAAAGCGUGCGCAGGCGGUUUUCCAAGUCAGUGGUGAAAGCCCGGAGCUCAACUCCGGAACUGCCAUUGAAACUGUGAAACUCGAGUACGAGAGAGGUGAGUGGAAUUCCCAGUGUAGAGGUGAAAUUCGUAGAUAUUGGGAAGAACACCGGUGGCGAAGGCGGCUCACUGGCUCGUAACUGACGCUCAGGCACGACAGCGUGGGGAUCAAACAGG